GGCAACAUGGCCGAGUGGUCUAAGGCGCUGGAAUUAGGUUAUCUACCAAAAAUCCAGUCCGAAAGGGCGGGAGUUCGAACCUCCCUGUUGUCA
rnacentral:tRNA from 1 species